rnacentral:rRNA from 1 species
UGGGGAAUCUUGCGCAAUGGGCGAAAGCCUGACGCAGCGACGCCGCGUGAGUGAUGAAGGCCUUCGGGUUGUAAAGCUCUGUGGGGAGAGAAGAAUAAGUGCGGGCUAAUACUCCGCAUGAUGACGGUAUCUCCUUAGCAAGCACCGGCUAACUCUGUGCCAGCAGCCGCGGUAAGACAGAGGGUGCAAACGUUGUUCGGAAUUACUGGGCGUAAAGCGAGUGUAGGCGGUUUGGUAAGUCGGAUGUGAAAGCCCCGGGCUCAACCCGGGAAGUGCACUCGAUACUGCCAAGCUAGAGUAUCGGAGAGGUUGGUGGAAUUCUCGGUGUAGAGGUGAAAUUCGUAGAUAUCGAGAGGAACACCGGUGGCGAAGGCGGCCAACUGGACGAAUACUGACGCUGAGACUCGAAAGCGUGGGGAGCAAACAGGAUUAGAUACCCGUGUAGUCCCUGAGCGGGCUGGCAAGGCGCAU